rnacentral:tRNA from 1 species
UCCCUGAUGACUCAGUGGUAAAGAAUCUGCUUGCCAGUGCAGGAAGACACAGGUUCAAUCCCUGAUCUGGGAA